rnacentral:rRNA from 1 species
GAUGAACGCUGGCGGUAUGCUUAACACAUGCAAGUCGAACGGAGUAGAAAUACUUAGUGGCGGACGGGUGAGUAACGCGUAAGAAUCUGCCUACAGGACGGGGAUAACGAUUGGAAACGGUCGCUAAAACCCGAUGUGCCGAGAGGUGAAAUAUUUAUAGCCUGUAGAUGAGCUUGCGUCUGAUUAGCUAGUUGGAGUGGUAACGGCACACCAAGGCGACAAUCAGUAACUGGUCUGAGAGGAUGACCAGUCACACUGGGACUGAGACACGGCCCAGACUCCUACGGGAGGCAGCAGUGGGGAAUUUUCCGCAAUGGGCGAAAGCCUGACGGAGCAAUACCGCGUGAGGGAUGAAGGUUCGUGGAUUGUAAACCUCUUUUUUCAGGGAAGAUAAUGACGGUACCUGAAGACUAAGCAUCGGCUAACUCCGUGCCAGCAGCCGCGGUAAGACGGAGGAUGCAAGCGUUAUCCGGAAUUAUUGGGCGUAAAGCGUACGCAGGUGGCAUAUCAAGUCCUUUGUUAAAGCGCGAGGCUCAACCUCGUAAAGGCAGAGGAAACUGGUAAGCUAGAGUAUGGUAGGGGCAGGAGGAAUUCCCAGUGUAGCGGUGAAAUGCGUAGAUAUUGGGAAGAACACCAGCGGCGAAAGCGUCCUGCCAAGCCAAAACUGACACUCAUGUACGAAAGCUAGGGGAGCGAAUGGGAUUAGAUACCCCAGUAGUCCUAGCCGUAAACGAUGGGUACUAGGUGUUGGGAGAGUCUUAGCUGUAAACGAUGGAUACUAGCGUUGCUCG